rnacentral:rRNA from 1 species
GAUGAACGCUGGCGGCGUGCCUAACACAUGCAAGUCGAACGGACAGACGAGGAGCUUGCUCCUCUGACGUUAGCGGCGGACGGGUGAGUAACACGUGGAUAACCUACCUAUAAGUCGGGGAUAACUUCGGGAAACCGGAUCUAAUACCGGAUAAUACAUCGAACGGCAGGGAGCAAUAGAGAUUGACGGCUUUGCUGUCUGUUUUAGCUGGAUCCGCGCCGGAUUAGCUAGUUGGUAAGGUAACGGCCUACCAAGGCAACGAUGCGUAGCCGACCUGAGAGGGUGAUCGGCCACACUGGAACUGAGACACGGUCCAGACUCCUACGGGAGGCAGCAGUAGGGAAUCUUCGGCAAUGGGCGAAAGCCUGACGCAGCAACACCGCGUGGGUGAAGAAGGCCUUCGGGUCGUAAAGCUCUGUUAUUGGGAAAGAACAACUGUAGAAGUAAACAUGGCUGUUCUGACGGUACCUAAAGAAUAAGCACCGGCUAACUACGUG